CGGCAGGAAAUCACAGGAAAUCAUGCAACAGCCAGAGGGGGAUUAAAGGAGCAAAAUAGAGAAUUAAAGCAACAAAGAGAGGGGAGCUCGCCUUCUGCUCCACCCUGGGUAAACAUUCCCCAGCCUGAAGCCCCAUAAAGAGUGUCUGCCCAUCUGGGCUAAAUCCCCUGACCAGAGAUUUGGCUGCACCACAGACCCCAGCGCCGAUCUUCUGCUUCCCCAACACCAUG